CUCUGUGUCUCCUACGGGAGGCAGCAGUGGGGAAUAUUGCACAAUGGGGGAAACCCUGAUGCAGCCAUGCCGCGUGUGUGAAGAAGGCCUUCGGGUUGUAAAGCACUUUCAGUAGGGAGGAAGGUAGUGUAGUUAACACCUGCAUUAUUUGACGUUACCUACAGAAGAAGCACCGGCUAACUCCGUGCCAGCAGCCGCGGUAAUACGGAGGGUGCGAGCGUUAAUCGGAAUUACUGGGCGUAAAGCGCAUGCAGGCGGCUUGUUAAGUCAGAUGUGAAAGCCCGGGGCUUAACCUCGGAAUUGCAUUUGAAACUGGCAGGCUAGAGUCUUGUAGAGGGGGUAGAAUUUCAGGUGUAGCGGUGAAAUGCGUAGAGAUCUGAAGGAAUACCAGUGGCGAAGGCGGCCCCCUGGACAAAGACUGACGCUCAGAUGCGAAAGCGUGGGGAGCAAACAGGAUUAGAUACCCUGUAG
rnacentral:rRNA from 1 species